rnacentral:rRNA from 1 species
UACGGAGGGAGCUAACGUUGUUCGGAUUUACUGGGCGUAAAGCGCACGUAGGCGGCGCCGUAAGUCAGGGGUGAAAUCCCGGAGCUCAACUCCGGAACUGCCCUUGAAACUGCAGUGCUAGAAUUCUGGAGAGGCGAGUGGAAUUCCGAGUGUAGAGGUGAAAUUCGUAGAUAUUCGGAAGAACACCAGUGGCGAAGGCGACUCGCUGGACAGACAUUGACGCUGAGGUGCGAAAGCGUGGGGAGCAAACAGG